rnacentral:rRNA from 1 species
AAAAAAAAACACGUGAGUAACCUGCCCUUGACUUUGGGAUAACUUCAGGAAACUGUAGCUCAUACCGGAUAGGAGCUCCUGCUGCAUGGUGUGGGUUGGAAAGUUUCGGCGGUUUGGGAUGGACUCGCGGCUUAUCAGCUUGUUGGUGGGGUAGUGGCUUACCAAGGCUUUGACGGGUAGCCGGCCUGAGAGGGUGACCGGCCACAGUGGGACUGAGAUACGGCCCAGACUCCUACGGGAGGCAGAAGUGGGGAAUAUUGCACAAUGGGCGGAAGCCUGAUGCAGCAACGCCGCUUUUGUUAAGUCGGC